AGAGUUUGAUCCUGGCUCAGGAUGAACGCUAGCUACAGGCUUAACACAUGCAAGUCGAGGGGCAGCAUUUUAGUUUGCUUGCAAACUAAAGAUGGCGACCGGCGCACGGGUGAGUAACACGUAUCCAACCUGCCGAUAACUCGGGGAUAGCCUUUCGAAAGAAAGAUUAAUAUCCGAUAGUAUAUUAAAACCGCAUGGUUUUACUAUUAAAGAAUUUCGGUUAUCGAUGGGGAUGCGUUCCAUUAGUUUGUUGGCGGGGUGACGGCCCACCAAGGCGACGAUCAGUAGGGGUUCUGAGAGGAAGGUCCCCCCANAUUGGAACUGAGACACGGUCCAAACUCCUACGGGAGGCA
rnacentral:rRNA from 1 species